UGGUGGAGUGAUUUGUCUGGUUAAUUCCGUUAACGAACGAGACCUUACCCUGCUAAAUAGGAGCCUGAUUCCUAAUCGGGUGUCCUUCUUAGAGGGACUAUGUGCGUAAGCACAUGGAAGUUUGAGGCAAUAACA
rnacentral:rRNA from 1 species